rnacentral:lncRNA from 1 species
CUCAUGUUGGUCAACGCUCAUAGCAGUUUUUUUUUCCUUUGGUCUUAACACACAGCAGUUUUGUUGUAGUGAUAUAUGAAGAAACAAUUGAUAAUAUUUUUCAUUAUUAUUUCAUUUCACUCGCAUCAUCUUAAAGUACAAAACUAACAAGGUACGUAAAAUUAGAAAAGCUAAAAGAAAAUUUAUUUAAUUGGUGAUCACAAUAACCAAAUAAAAACUCAUGUAGUAUUCACGUAGUGCAUUGUGUAUUCUUUUGAGUUUGACAAUCAUAUAACCUUAGGAGCUUUAUAAUUAUGCUCCUACACAAUAACCUUUACGACAUCUCAUUCUUGUAUUACGUGAGUGAACCUGGGAGAUAGAAAUUGGACAAUCACGAUCACGAACACAUGGAAUGGGACCUAAAAUGUAAAAAGAGAAAAAUCAAUGUUACUAAAAUGGGUUAAAAUAUUGUGUAAGAAAUAAUGAUGAAAAUUUUAAAAGGAGAUACAACUAGUUUACCAGAACGCUGACUUUCUAUUGAAACAAUAAAUAGAGAAAAAAUGAUUAUCAUAACAUUAACAAACUUAAAAAUUUUAUCCAUAUUUUCCACCUUUUGUAUGUAUUACAUAGAAUUUUAGUUUACCACCUUUUGAUUUAUAAAGCCAUUACUCUCGUUACAUUAAUUAAAUAGUUUUUAGUACUUACAAAGUUUAAAAAGACUUUCAAUUUUUUAUUUAUUUUUAUAAUUAUUAGAUAUCUUUUAAGUACAACAAUGUGUUAAUUUGCCCCUUUAAAAUCU